rnacentral:rRNA from 1 species
UACGGGGGGGGCAAGCGUUGUUCGGAAUUACUGGGCGUAAAGGCUCGUAGGUGGCCAACUAAGUCAGACGUGAAAUCCCUCAGCUUAACUGGGGAACUGCGUCUGAUACUGGAUGGCUUGAGUUUGGGAGAGGGAUGCGGAAUUCCAGGUGUAGCGGUGAAAUGCGUAGAUAUCUGGAGGAAUACCGGUGGCGAAGGCGGCAUCCUGGACCAUAACUGACGCUGAGGCGCGAAAGCUAGGGGAGCAAACGGGG